rnacentral:rRNA from 1 species
AUUGAACGCUGGCGGCAGGCCUAACACAUGCAAGUCGAACGAGUGGCGGACGGGUGAGUAAUGUCUGGGAAACUGCAUGAUGGAGGGGGAUAACUACUGGAAACGGUAGCCAAUACCGCAUACUAUCGGAUCUGCCCAGAUGGGAUAAGCUAGUAGGUGGGGUAAAGGCUCACCUAGGCGACGAUCCCUAGCUGGUCUGAGAGGAUGACCGGCCACACUGGAACUGGACCACGGUCCAGACUCCUACGGGGGGCAGCAGUGGGGAAUAUUGCACAAGGGGCGCAAGCCGGAUGCAGCCAUGCCGCGGGUAUGAAGAAGGCCUUCGGGUUGUAAAGUACUUUCAGCGGGGAGGCGUUACCCGCAGAAGAAGCACCGGCUAACUCCGUGCCAGCAGCCGCGGUAAUAC